rnacentral:rRNA from 1 species
UACGUAGGGGGCAAGCGUUGUCCGGAUUUAUUGGGCGUAAAGAGCGUGUAGGCGGUUUGGUAGGUCCGUUGUGAAAACUCGAGGCUCAACCUCGAGACGCCGGCGGAAACCAUCAGGCUAGAGUCCGGAAGAGGAGAGUGGAAUUCCUGGUGUAGCGGUGAAAUGCGCAGAUAUCAGGAAGAACACCCGUGGCUAAGGCGGCUCUCUAGUACGGUACUGACGCUGAGACGCGAAAGCGUGGGGAGCGAAC